rnacentral:rRNA from 1 species
UACAGGGGGGGCAAGCGUUGUUCGGAAUUCCUGGGCGUAAAGGGUUCGUAGGUGGCCAACUAAGUCAGACGUGAAAUCCCUCAGCUUAACUGGGGAACUGCGUCUGAUACUGGAUGGCUUGAGUGUAGGAGAGGAAUGCGGAAUUCCAGGUGUAGCGGUGAAAUGCGUAGAUAUCUGGAGGAACACCGGUGGCGAAGGCGGCAUUCUGGACUACAACUGACACUGAGGAACGAAAGCCAGGGGAGCAAACGGG